UACAGAGGGCGCGAGCGUUGUCCGGAAUCACUGGGCGUAAAGGGCGCGUAGGUGGCCUACUAUAAGGCCGGCGGUGAAAGUUCGGGGCUCAACCCUGAAUCGGCCGCGGCGACUGUAGGGCUUGGGCACUGUAGAGGCAGAUGGAAUUCCGGGUGUAGCGGUGGAAUGCGUAGAGAUCCGGAAGAACACCGGUGGCGAAGGCGGUCUGCUGGGCGA
rnacentral:rRNA from 1 species